GACGAACGCUGGCGGCGUGCCUAAUACAUGCAAGUUGAGCGCUGAAGGUUGGUACUUGUACCGACUGGAUGAGCAGCGAACGGGUGAGUAACGCGUGGGGAAUCUGCCUUUGAGCGGGGGACAACAUUUGGAAACGAAUGCUAAUACCGCAUAAAAACUUUAAACACAAGUUUUAAGUUUGAAAGAUGCAAUUGCAUCACUCAAAGAUGAUCCCGCGUUGUAUUAGCUAGUUGGUGAGGUAAAGGCUCACCAAGGCGAUGAUACAUAGCCGACCUGAGAGGGUGAUCGGCCACAUUGGGACUGAGACACGGCCCAAACUCCUACGGGAGGCAGCAGUAGGGAAUCUUCGGCAAUGGACGAAAGUCUGACCGAGCAACGCCGCGUGAGUGAAGAAGGUUUUCGGAUCGUAAAACCCUGUUGGUAGAGAAGAACGUUGGUGAGAGUGGAGAGCUCAUCAAGUGACGGUAACUACCCAGAAAGGGACGGCUAACUACGUG
rnacentral:rRNA from 1 species